AUUGAACGCUGGCGGCAGGCCUAACACAUGCAAGUCGAACGGUAACAGGAAGCAGCUUGCUGCUUUGCUGACGAGUGGCGGACGGGUGAGUAAUGUCUGGGAAACUGCCCGAUGGAGGGGGAUAACUACUGGAAACGGUAGCUAAUACCGCAUAACGUCGCAAGACCAAAGAGGGGGACCUUAGGGCCUCUUGCCAUCGGAUGUGCCCAGAUGGGAUUAGCUAGUAGGUGGGGUAACGGCUCACCUAGGCGACGAUCCCUAGCUGGUCUGCGAGGUAGACCGGGCAGAGUGGAAGUGAGACCAGGGCGAGACUCCAGAGGGAGGCAGCGGGGGGGAGUCGUAUGAGAGGGGCGGCAGCCUGAAGGAGAAGUGGCGGGGGAAGGAGGAAGGUAUUAGGAUUGUAAAAGUCUUUGAGUGGGGAAGAAAAAAGACGAAAUUAAAUGUGCACAUCGUGACGGUACCGAAAAAGAAAGCCACCGCUAACUACGCG
rnacentral:rRNA from 1 species